rnacentral:rRNA from 1 species
GCCCAAGAGAUCGGGAUAACACCUGGAAACAGAUGCUAAUACCGGAUAACAACAGAUGAUGCCUAUCAACUGUUUAAAAGAUGGUUCUGCUAUCACUCUUGGAUGGACCUGCGGUGCAUUAGCUAGUUGGUAGGGUAACGGCCUACCAAGGCGAUGAUGCAUAGCCGAGUUGAGAGACUGAUCGGCCACAUUUGGACUGAGACACGGCCCAAACUCCUACGGGAGGCAGCAGCU